rnacentral:lncRNA from 1 species
CGUUUGGUUGCCUGCUUAUAAUAUUUGUGGUUGCUAGCGGGCGAGCAGCACGAGCGGCGUUGUCCUUGUUCAUUUUCUAAGAUAAACGGCAGCGGUGCGACAAGGAAUGCGGUCGGAGUUCAAUGCACGCACAAAUUGUCAAAUAUGUGGUCUUUAUAAGCGAUUGGGCUUGGCCGUUUGUUAUAACUCGCGACAUUGGCGACGCAAUCCAGGUAACGGUACACGGGGUCAACGUUUGACGAAAUUCACCCCCCCCCCGUCACUUUAGGCUUUUCGUCCACUUUACUGGUAACGUACCGUUACCAUAUCCGAACCGACCACUUUUGGUUCGGGCAUGGUAAGAAAGAUGCCCUGCCAAGAGGCGACGAAGUUGCAUUUGCUGUAGUGACUGGCGCGAACAAGGCAAACAUGCCCCGGGCAAAAAGGCAAUGCAUGUUGAUUAAGUGCUCGUCCUGUAGUGCAGUACGGCAAGUGCGGCGCGGGAAGGCGCAGACCAGAAUUGGCCAGAGGACAGGGACUGAUACGGUAGUUCGUUACAAAGAUUAGCUGGGAACAAAGCGCUGAAUCCAGACAACGCAAGUUCGCCAGUCAACCGUGCAAGCAAGCGCAAGUCAGAAC